UACGUAGGGCGCAAGCGUUGUCCGGAAUUAUUGGGCGUAAAGAGCUCGUAGGCGGCUUGUCACGUCGGGUGUGAAAGCCCGGGGCUUAACCCCGGGUCUGCAUUCGAUACGGGCUAGCUAGAGUGUGGUAGGGGAGAUCGGAAUUCCUGGUGUAGCGGUGAAAUGCGCAGAUAUCAGGAGGAACACCGGUGGCGAAGGCGAGUCUCUGGACGACUCCUGACACUGAGGCACGAAAGCUAGGGGAGCAAACAGG
rnacentral:rRNA from 1 species